rnacentral:rRNA from 1 species
AAACUUGAUGGCGACCGGCGCGACGGGUGAGUAACGCGUAUCCAACCUUCCCCUUAGUAGGGCAUAGCCGGCGAAAGUCGGAUUAAUACCCUAUGUUAUCCGAAGAGGACAUCUGAAUUGGAUUAAAGAUUGAUCGCUAAGGGAUGGGGAUGCGUCUGAUUAGGUAGUAGGCGGGGUAACGGCCCACCUAGCCUACGAUCAGUAGGGGUUCUGAGAGGAAGGUCCCCCACAUUGGAACUGAGACACGGUCCAAACUCCUACGGGAGGCAGCAGUGAGGAAUAUUGGUCAAUGGGCGUAAGCCUGAACCAGCCAAGUAGCGUGCAGGAUGACGGCCCUAUGGGUUGUAAACUGCUUUUAUGCGGGGAUAAAGUGAGGGACGUGUCCCUUUUUGUAGGUACCGCAUGAAUAAGGACCGGCUAAUUCCGUGCCAGCAGCGGC